rnacentral:rRNA from 1 species
AUUGAACGCUGGCGGCAGGCUUAACACAUGCAAGUCGAGCGGAAACGAUGUAGCUUGCUACAGGCGUCGAGCGGCGGACGGGUGAGUAACGCGUAGGAAUCUGCCUAGUAGUGGGGGACAACAUGUGGAAACGCAUGCUAAUACCGCAUACGCCCUACGGGGGAAAGGAGGGGAUCUUCGGACCUUUCGCUAUUAGAUGAGCCUGCGUAAGAUUAGCUAGUUGGUAGGGUAAAGGCCUACCAAGGCGACGAUCUUUAACUGGUCUGAGAGGAUGGCUAGUCACACUGGGACUGAGACACGGCCCAGACUCCUACGGGAGGCAGCAGUGGGGAAUAUUGGACAAUGGGCGCAAGCCUGAUCCAGCCAUGCCGCGUGUGUGAAGAAGGCCUUAGGGUUGUAAAGCACUUUCAGGGGUGAGGAAGGGUGUUUGGUUAAUAUCCAAACAUUUUGACGUUAGCCCCAGAAGAAGCACCGGCUAACUCUGUG